UAUUGGACAAUGGGCGCAAGCCUGAUCCAGCCAUGCCGCGUGAGUGAAGAAGGCCCUCGGGUUGUAAAGCUCUGUGGGGAGGGAAGAAUAAGCCUAGGCUAAUACCUCUAGGUGAUGACGGUACCUCCUUAGCAAGCACCGGCUAACUCUGUGCCAGCAGCCGCGGUAAGACAGAGGGUGCAAACGUUGUUCGGAAUUACUGGGCGUAAAGCGCGUGUAGGCGGCUAUGCAAGUCGGGCGUGAAAGCCCACGGCUCAACCGUGGAAGUGCACUCGAAACUGCGUAGCUAGAGUCCCGGAGAGGAAGGUGGAAUACUUGGUGUAGAGGUGAAAUUCGUAGAUAUCAAGUGGAACACCGGUGGCGAAGGCGGCCUUCUGGACGGUGACUGACGCUGAGACGCGAAAGCGUGGGGAGCAAACA
rnacentral:rRNA from 1 species